GAUGAACGCUGGCGGCGAGCCUAAUACAUGCAAGUCGAGCGAACAGACGAGGAGCUUGCUCCUCUGACGUUAGCGGCGGACGGGUGAGUAACACGUGGAUAACCUACCUAUAAGACUGGGAUAACUUCGGGAAACCGGAGCUAAUACCGGAUAAUAUAUUGAACCGCAUGGUUCAAUAGUGAAAGACGGUUUUGCUGUCACUUAUAGAUGGAUCCGCGCCGCAUUAGCUAGUUGGUAAGGUAACGGCUUACCAAGGCGACGAUGCGUAGCCGACCUGAGAGGGUGAUCGGCCACACUGGAACUGAGACACGGUCCAGACUCCUACGGGAGGCAGCAGUAGGGAAUCUUCCGCAAUGGGCGAAAGCCUGACGGAGCAACGCCGCGUGAGUGAUGAAGGUCUUCGGAUCGUAAAACUCUGUUAUUAGGGAAGAACAAAUGUGUAAGUAACUAUGCACGUCUUGACGGUACCUAAUCAGAAAGCCACGGCUAACUACGUG
rnacentral:rRNA from 1 species